UUCCAUGUACCAACUUAUAGCAUGGCAGGAGAGUCCCGCAGCCAAGUCGUGGUGUAGGCGUACUUCAUCAUGAGAUUGAGCAGUGGCCGCUCCAUCACCUGCUCUUGAUUCGACACAAACACAUCCAGCCGAAACCAGAGUCACUCGUGGGACUCGAUGUCUGUGACACAGGAACGCCACCUGUUUACUCCUCCCAUUUUCUCCUUGGCCUCGUUCUGGAUGAAGGCCCGGUCCUCGAGGAUGGCAG
rnacentral:lncRNA from 1 species